AUUGAACGCUGGCGGCAUGCUUUACACAUGCAAGUCGAACGGCAGCACGGGGGCAACCCUGGUGGCGAGUGGCGAACGGGUGAGUAAUGCAUCGGAACGUACCCAGUCGUGGGGGAUAACGCAGCGAAAGCUGUGCUAAUACCGCAUACGACCUGAGGGUGAAAGCGGGGGACCGUAAGGCCUCGCGCGAUUGGAGCGGCCGAUGUCUGAUUAGCUAGUUGGUGGGGUAAAGGCCCACCAAGGCGACGAUCAGUAGCGGGUCUGAGAGGAUGAUCCGCCACACUGGGACUGAGACACGGCCCAGACUCCUACGGGAGGCAGCAGUGGGGAAUUUUGGACAAUGGGGGCAACCCUGAUCCAGCCAUGCCGCGUGCGGGAAGAAGGCCUCGGUUGUAACGACUUCGUACGGAAGGAAAUACGCAUGGACGUAAUACUACUGUGUGGAGUGACGGUACC
rnacentral:rRNA from 1 species